rnacentral:piRNA from 1 species
UAGUAGAACCCCACAUUCACAGG